GAGGAAGUGACGAAACAUGUAGCCUAUAGGCGGAAGUUAAGAUUUAGCACCAAGUGUUUGAUAGUUGAAGGAAGAUUGGAUUGAAAAUGAAGGUUCGCAAAGUCAAGACGAAAGUAUCUGCUGGCUUCAAGAUGCGGGGACUUAUGCUUCGACCCCUGCAGGUACACGGUGGAGGUGUAAGAGUCUGUCAAUGAGCUGGAACUGGAUGUCAUCAUCGAGCGAGUCUUGGACGCUGUGGAGAAGCAGCCAUUAUGAUUGAGCUGGCUGUGGUGGAGACUGCUGUGCAGGACUCCAGCCAGUCGUGAUGAAACCAUAGAUAACGUCUUCAACAUCAUUGGCGCUUUUGAUGUGCCAAGAUAUAUCUACAGUACAGAGAGGAAGAAGUUUGUACCG